rnacentral:tRNA from 1 species
ACCUGGCUGGCUCAGUUUGUAGAGCAUGUGACUCUUGAUCACAGGAUUGUGAUUUCGAGCCCCAUGUUUGGUG